GAUCCUGGCUCAGAAUCAACGCUGGCGGCGUGCCUAAUACAUGCAAGUCGUACGCGAAGACCCCGCAAGGGGUUGUUAGCGUGGCAAACGGGUGAGUAACGCGUGGGCGACCUACCUCAGAGUGGGGGAUAACCCUUCGAAAGGAGGGCUAAUACCGCAUGACAUGCUCUGUUUAGAUACAGGGACAUCAAAGCCGGGGAUCGCAAGACCUGGCGCUUGGAGAGGGGCCUACGUCCGAUUAGCUAGUUGGUGGGGUAACGGCUCACCAAGGCGACGAUCGGUAUCCGGCCUGAGAGGGCGGACGGACACACUGGGACUGAGACACGGCCCAGACUCCUACGGGAGGCAGCAGUAGGGAAUUGUUCGCAAUGGGCGCAAGCCUGACGACGCAACGCCGCGUGGAGGAUGAAGGACUUCGGUCCGUAAACUCCUUUCGACCGAGAUGAACAGCUCUUGACCUAAUACGUCGAGAGCCUGACAGUAUCGAGGGAAGCAGCCCCGGCUAACUCCGUGCCAGCAGCCGCGGUAAUACGGGGGGGGCAAGCGUUGUUCGGAAUUACUGGGCGUAAAGGGUUCGUAGGUGGCCAACUAAGUCAGACGUGAAAUCCCUCAGCUUAACUGGGGAACUGCGUCUGAUACUGGUUGGCUUGAGUGCAGGAGAGGAACGCGGAAUUCCAGGUGUAGCGGUGA
rnacentral:rRNA from 1 species